AGUGGGAGCCCCACCACUAAGCCAGUGGUGAACUCCACAUACGCAUCCUUUGCUGAGGAUACGGUUAACGGAGCGAAAGCGACGUUCAACCUCAAAAGAAGCAGAGGGGGCUUAGUGGUGGGGUGACUGCGUACCUUUUGUAUAAUGGGUCAGCGACUUAUAUUCUGUAGCAAGGUUAACCGUAUAGGGGAGCCGGAGGGAAACCGAGUCUUAACCGGGCGUUAAGUUGCAGGGUAUAGACCCGAAACCCGGUGAUCUAGCCAUGGGCAGGUUGAAGGUUGGGUAACACUAACUGGAGGACCGAACCGACUAAUGUUGAAAAAUUAGCGGAUGACCUGUGGCUGGGGGUGAAAGGCCAAUCAAACCGGGAGAUAGCUGGUUCUCCCCGAAAGCUAUUUAGGUAGCGCCUCGUGAAUUCAUCUCCGGGGGUAGAGCACUGUUUCGGCUAGGGGGCCAUCCCGGCUUACCAACCCGAUGCAAACUGCGAAUACCGGAGAAUGUUAUCACGGGAGACACACGGCGGGUGCUAACGUCCGUCGUGAAGAGGGAAACAACCCAGACCGCCAGCUAAGGUCCCAAAGUCAUGGUUAAGUGGGAAACGAUGUGGGAAGGCCCAGACAGCCAGGAUGUUGGCUUAGAAGCAGCCAUCAUUUAAAGAAAGCGUAAUAGCUCACUGGUCGAGUCGGCCUGCGCGGAAGAUGUAACGGGGCUAAACCAUGCACCGAAGCUGCGGCAGCGAACGUAUCACUUAAAGCGAUUCAGCGGAUGACGAUUGACGGAGCGAAGCGACGUCAAAGCGUAUACAAAGUCGAGUCGGUUUAAGGAU
rnacentral:rRNA from 1 species